rnacentral:lncRNA from 13 species
CACACUUUUAAUGAAGACCCUGGCCUGCUCAGCCUGCAUUGGGAGAGCACAACAGAACAUAGCAGAUGCACUGUCAUAAUCAGCAACACCACCAUCAAGACAUCCUCCCCUGGACUGGUCGAGAAGAGGGGGAGCACACAGUGUCUGAAGUUAAUAUUCUUAUCAGGGCUUUGUGAAACUCCCCCCUCCUGCUGGCGCGGAUGGUGCAGCCCUGGCUGUUUCUCAUGGUCACUUACUGUAAGAGUCAGCCACAGCAGGGAAAGGAUACAUACCCUGCUCCUGGAACUCCUCCAUAUUUACAGGGAAAGUUGGGAUUUCUCCCCAAGUUCAUGUCCUCUUGACUUUCCCAUCCCAGCCAGUGGAAGUGGCAGGGGCAGGAACGGGCAGCUAUUUUGUCACUGGCUAAAGCACCUCACCCUGUCCAGGCAUUUGGGCUCCCGAAUGGUGCAGUGGUCUAAAGCACUGCAAGAGGCGUCACUACAGUCCCUGGUUCGAAUCCAGGCUGUAUCACAUCCGACCGUGAUUGGGAGUCCCAUAGAACGGCGCACAAUUGGCCCAGCGUCAUCCGGGUUUGGCCGGGAUAGGUUGUCAUUGUAAAUAAGAAUUUGUUCUUAUUAACUUGCCAAGUUAAAUAAAGGUAACCUAAACAAAUAAUUGUCCCCUAUUCAUUUCUGAGGGAUAAUCUUCACCUGUUUUGUUUACACAAGACAGGAAUUUGUCUCAUUCCUCACCCGCGUCCCAGGGCUUUGGGCCCGGCCGUGGGGCUGCGUACCCUUCGUGUGUGUCGCUGUACAUGUGUCAUUGGUGUGCGUGGAUGUCUGCGCUCCCAGAGUUGGCUGUAAGGGCUCAGAGACUAAAGUCACAAUGGCCCUGUGAAUGACGACUCAGAGUUAAGACGGUCAACCUUCAAUGGGCCGGAUUAAGACUGAAAAUAUCCCUGAAAGCACCUUGACAUGUUUACAUGUUCUGCUAAGUGUGCUACCAAGCUGGAUUUAACCUGUUGUCAACCAGUUCCCUCCGUUUCUGGAGGGAAACAAAGAACACAAAGCCUUUUGCUGUUCACCAUUACUCACGAGCCACGCAAUGAUCUUCAUUGCUAGUGGUCUGACGGCAGAUUUCAGAGUGACACGGGCCUCAGUUCAGGGGUGAAGCUGUUUGGGGAUCCUAAGGAGUUUCUGGGUUUGUGAGAGCCCGGUCCUUAACCAAACAAACAGAGAGGAAUUUGUGGCAUUGUUGGUCCAGAGGGUUGAGUGACAGGGCUGCACUACACCGCACAGCCUCCGACGCAGAGCUUAACUAACAACUAACAAUCAUCGAGCCACAGACACACACAGAUGGAGACACCCAUGCAACAGACACAGACAGAAAGGCAGGCCCGGUGAAAUAGAGGACAUCAUUAUUUUAAUGGGAGACAUCAGUGCAUUCUCAUAUUUUAUUCCUUCUUUACAUAUAAAUAAUGCAAUACAAAGCGUCUUUGUGAAUUAGGCUACUCUAUUUACAGUAACUAAAGUUGGUCGCCAGGUGUCAUCAGACAUGCCCUCCCCAGAUGUGGGUUUUAGCGCAAGUUAUCAUUAGCUGGCGACCUGAAAGUUGAACCCUGACCCCUGUGAGGAACUAAGCAUUACAUUCUGCAAGGCUGAGGCUGAUUCUGCGCUCCCAUUUAAGCCCCUAGGCCCAAGGCACUUUUGUCUAUCAACAACAAUUAACAGAGACAUUUCAAACAAUACAAUAACAAAUUAAUGUUUGUCAUAAAUAUGAUUCUGACUUGUGCGUUUGGGCAGCUUCGUGCAGAAAAUACAGGAACUUACUGUUAGAUGGGAUCAACAACUUUGCCUUGAGCCCAGCAGCAGCAGCCUGCUCUCUGGACUGAGUGCCUCGUUAAGAUGAGGCAUAUAGAAUAAGGGAGAGAAAGCCUGGCUAAAUACACCCAGGCAGUGUGUGUUGGAUGGUCCCAGCCUCAGCAUGUGUAGUGGGUGAUGGAGUCAAGCUGUUCCUGCCGAGCGGGGGGGUCAGGGUCCUUCAGUCAGCACCCCGUCCCUGAACGGAGCACACAGGAAUCACCCCUUCCUUCUACACCUCCUCCUUCACCUCUCCACCCCCCCUCCUCCACCUCUUCCCCUGGUCUGGCUGCAUCCCUCGCUCUCCCUGCCUCAACCCCGGGUCCAAAUAAACCUGGUAGCGCUGUUGCUCUCCUCUCUCCCCUCCCUCCAUCAUCCUGAGCAGUGCGCUGUCACUCCCCUCAUCAGGAUCAUUAAUCAGGCAUGGCAGAUUAGAGUUCAAACACAAAUAAACCAGCUCAGUGCCCUGCUCUUAGCUCCCCUCAGCUCCACCGUUCCCCACUCCACUCAAACUGCAUGACCUGUCCAGCUCAGUCCAGCACUACAUAGUUCUCUGCUUUCAGGACUUGUAGGAAAGGAUGAUUGGGUGAAGAGUGGACUGGUGUACUUGACAUGUUGGAAGACUUAAAUAGUACGACAUCAUUUACGUGACUGGUAAAAAUCACAAUAGUAUAAUGGCAGUUAAGUGAAAUAAACAAUCGGCCUUAUCUCAGAGGGUGAUGACUUUGUGGGCUAAACUGCCAGCCGUGUAAAUACACAAUGUUAUCAGUUAGCGCUACAAAUGCCUCCAUGGUCUCCACAUUCAUUCCAUAACAGACAUCUCAAUUAUGCACCUUGAAUGUGCCCGGGCUUAUUCAUUAUACACUGACUUCAUUACCCUAUCAUUUCUUUACUAGCAGGUUUUUUGAAGAAAAUAAGAGGACAAUACCGCCACCUUCAGGCAGCAUUCAGUACUGCCACCACUGUGGCCCAGGCAGUUUCUUUCCCUCCAUCUCUCCCAUAGAGGGAUUGGGUUGCCAGAGGUUGCUGGCCAAGGCGUCCCCACACACAGACUGACAGAGAUUGUUAUUGUAGUCCCACUGUAUUCCUUUGUGCAUUGGGGUUGAGGGGAGGUGAGAAGGGGGGGGGGGGGGGGGGGGGGGGGGGGGGGG